rnacentral:rRNA from 1 species
UACGUAGGGAGCUAGCGUUGUUCGGAAUUACUGGGCGUAAAGCGCACGUAGGCGGCUACUCAAGUCGGGGGUGAAAGCCCGGGGCUCAACCCCGGAACUGCCCUCGAAACUAGGUGGCUAGAAUCUUGGAGAGGUCAGUGGAAUUCCGAGUGUAGAGGUGAAAUUCGUAGAUAUUCGGAAGAACACCAGUGGCGAAGGCGACUUACUGGACACAUAUUGACGCUGAGGUGCGAAAGCGUGGGGAGCAAACAGGG